rnacentral:rRNA from 1 species
UACAGAGGGUGCGAGCGUUGUCCGGAAUUACUGGGCGUAAAGGGCGCGUAGGCGGCCUUCUAAGUCGAACGUGAAAUCCCCGGGCUCAACCCGGGAACUGCGUCCGAUACUGGGAGGCUUGAAUCCGGGAGAGGGAUGUGGAAUUCCAGGUGUAGCGGUGAAAUGCGUAGAUAUCUGGAGGAACACCGGUGGCGAAGGCGGCAUCCUGGACCGGUAUUGACGCUGAGGCGCGAAAGCUAGGGGAGCAAACGGG